rnacentral:rRNA from 1 species
CACGUAGGGCGCAAGCGUUGUCCGGAAUUAUUGGGCGUAAAGAGCUCGUAGGCGGUUUGUCGCGUCGAAUGUGAAAACCCGGGGCUCAACCCCGGGCCUGCAUUCGAUACGGGCAGACUAGAGUUCGGUAGGGGAGUCUGGAAUUCCUGGUGUAGCGGUGAAAUGCGCAGAUAUCAGGAGGAACACCGAUGGCGAAGGCAGGUCUCUGGGCCACUACUGACGCUGAGAAGCGAAAGCAUGGGGAGCGAACAGG